AAUGGUGGAAUCCAGAUUCUGUGAAUGUACAUGUAAUUGAUUGACAAGUACACAUUUGACAAGGUGGUGAGAAACGUGUAGAUCUGGCCUGCUUACAGUGGCUAUUGGAUUGGACAGAACCAAAGUGAGAGUGAACGUGUGAAUUUAUGGAGAACAUUAAACUAUUUUACUAUAAGUCAUAACGCAACUUAUUUUGUAUGAGUUACAUACAAAUGUCAAGCCGUGAGUACAUUAUGUAAAAACUAAAACAAUGUACUGUAAUCACAAUAGUAACUGUAAUCUUUUAAAAUCCAAUAGUUUUAAAGCUUAUUGAUUUUCGUAAACAAGAUAUUUCAUGUUAUAUUUCAUCAAUAAAGUUUCGUUUGAUA